rnacentral:rRNA from 1 species
CUAUAGUUUGAUCCUGGUCAGGAGAAGGCAGGAGCGGCUUAACACAUGCAAGUCGAACGAAAGGAGGGAAAGAGACGCUCUUUCUGGAAUUGAGGGAAACGGGUGAGUAACACGUAAACAACCUGCCUUCAGGAUGGGGACAACAUUUGGAUUGGGGUGGUUAUUACCGAAUAAGUUCCAAGAGCCGGAUGGCCGAGGGAGGAAAAGGUGGCCUCUACCUGUAAGCUAUCGCCUGAAU